UGAACAUAGUUGAUAAUAGAUUUCCUUGAUUUUAAGCCAUACUGGUAUUCAUAUUUCAGUCAUAGAUAUGUUAAUUAUUUAUUAAUUGGUUACUAUGUCUAUGAUUUCAGUCACAUUUGAUCUAUUUAAGACGACAUUAUGUUGUAUUGAGUAGUGAUAACGGCUAUAAAUCUACAGCUAUAGUAGCAAUAUAUUUAUUUAUAUAGGACAUAUUUCUGCUAUCAUCCACUCUUCCUAUAUUUGUUUAUGUUGUCAUAUCUUUUUGAUCAGUUUCUAUUUAUCUUGAACUAUUAGUUCUCCUGCUGUUUUUAUAAUUCAGAUCCUAUCAUAUCCUCUUACGGAGUUUUAUUGUUUUUAAAAAUGUCUU